AUUGAACGCUGGCGGCAUGCCUUACACAUGCAAGUCGAACGGUAACAGGUCUUCGGAUGCUGACGAGUGGCGAACGGGUGAGUAAUACAUCGGAACGUGCCCGAUCGUGGGGGAUAACGAGGCGAAAGCUUUGCUAAUACCGCAUACGAUCUACGGAUGAAAGCGGGGGAUCUUCGGACCUCGCGCGGACGGAGCGGCCGAUGGCAGAUUAGGUAGUUGGUGGGAUAAAAGCUUACCAAGCCGACGAUCCGUAGCUGGUCUGAGAGGAUGAUCAGCCACACUGGGACUGAGACACGGCCCAGACUCCUACGGGAGGCAGCAGUGGGGAAUUUUGGACAAUGGGCGAAAGCCUGAUCCAGCCAUGCCGCGUGCAGGAUGAAGGCCUUUGGGUUGUAAACUGCUUUUGUACGGAACGAAAAGCCUCUUUCUAAUAAAGAGGGGUCAUGACGGUACCGUAAGAAUAAGCACCGGCUAACUACGUG
rnacentral:rRNA from 1 species